UGUGACCUGGGGUGCUUCUCUCUCUCUCCCUGGCAUUUCCGUUUCCGUUCUGAUUCCUUCCUCAGUUUCAUUUAGAGCGCGUCUGGUGGCGUUGGCAGUGCGGCAACUCGCGGUGUAUUUCGGCUGCAGUAAUUGUAGCGAGAGCAGUGAAUGCUGGCUGGUAGACUGAGCUAUGACACCGGUUGUGAGUAACCAUAUAGCGUUGCAUCUAAUGUUUAUUCAAUAACAAUCGUAAGUAUGCCACUUAUUUCUUCAUAUUGGUGGUUAUCUUGUUUUAAUCGUUAUAAUAAUUUGUUUUUUUAUUCUUUAGUUAAGGGGAAAUUAAAACAUCUUAGUCCUCAUCCUGGCCAAUGAUUUCAGACAACGCAGCUGCUGUUUUGCUUAGGGACGCAUUUUGGAGUCCGAUCUGCACUUUACGGACUUUUGUGCUUUAAUACUUUGAGAGUUUACGAAGCUGUAAAAACUGAGUAUUUUCUCCGCAUGGACUAUCUACCAGUUGAGGUUCUGGAUUGGUUUUUUUCUUCUAACCGUAAUUGUUUGUUUUGUUUGUUUGGUUAUAUUUGUGUUUUUUUGGUAUUGAUUUGUUUACCCUGCAUUUUCUUUUGUAAGCAUAUUGUGUGCUGCAAGGGUUAUUUCUUUUUGAGUAUUUAUUGAUUUUGAUUUACGUUUUGUGCAUGGUGUUCUCUGGAUGCUCGAGUGCCAGAGUCGCUACAAAGUGUUUAUAAGUUUCUUUUUUUUGCAUUUUCAUGUUUUCAUUUCUAUAAUUUUUGUUGAAUUUCUUCUUUAAUGUUAUUUUCUGUUUCUCCAGGGCCAGUGAGGAUCGAGUGGAA